rnacentral:lncRNA from 1 species
CGUAUUUUGAUUAGAAACGUCGAUGCUUGGGAGGUGAAUUUCGAUCUUGUGUCUACGUAGGAGAUUGGUGAUAGUUUGUGUAGGUUUUAAUAUCCUUAGAUUUAAUAUAUCUUAGAGUUCUUAGGAUCUAUACACUCCUUUGUUAAUCUAUUUAUUCUUUAAUAUAUUGCAUUUCGUUUCUUGUUCUUGUGCUGUGUUCU